CAGCAGCCGCGGUAAUACGAAGGGUGCAAGCGUUACUCGGAAUUACUGGGCGUAAAGCGUGCGUAGGUGGUGGUUUAAGUCCGUUGUGAAAGCCCUGGGCUCAACCUGGGAAUUGCAGUGGAUACUGGGUCACUAGAGUGUGGUAGAGGAUAGUGGAAUUUCCGAUGUAGCAGUGAAAUGCGUAGAGAUCGGAAGGAACAUCUGUGGCGAAGGCGACUAUCUGGGCCAACACUGACACUGAGGCACGAAAGCGUGGGGAGCAAACAGGAUUAGAUACCCCCGUAGUCCCUGUCUCUUAUAC
rnacentral:rRNA from 1 species